rnacentral:rRNA from 1 species
AUUCCAGCUCCAAUAGCGUAUAUUAAAGUUGUUGCAGUUAAAAAGCUCGUAGUUGGAUUUCUGUUACUGGAGGGGUGGUCCGCCUCACGGCGAGCACUGCUAUCCUCUGUGACAUCCUCUCAAAGUUUUAGCGGGUGCACUUAGUUGUGUGGCUGUUGAAUUUGGGAUCUUUACUUUGAAAAAAUUAGAGUGUUCAAAGCAGGCUAUUUGCUUGAAUAUAUUAGCAUGGAAUAAUGGAAUAGGACUUUUUCCUCUUCUGUUGGUCUGAGGGGUUCGAGUAAUGAUUAAUAGGGAUAGUUGGGGGCAUUAGUACUUUGCUGUCAGAGGUGAAGUUCUCGGAUUUGCAAAAGACUAACUUAUGCGAAAGCAUUUGCCAAGGAUGUUUUCAUCA